CCGUGUUGUUUUUCACAGGUCCUCUUAAAGGAAAGGGCUAACGUCGCCAUUUUAGACACAGAGUCUGUCAUCUGCAAAGCGAAAACCUUUAAAUCUGUUAAUGUAACGGUGCUGGAAGAACUCAAGGACGCGUGUGGGGUUUAUCUGAGGCGUGUCUGCUAGAGUUUCUGCUGGACAUCACACUCUACACAUCCAUCAUGGGUAACAGUUACUCUACUGGAAGCAGGGUAAUAUUGAGUGGAUGUGUCGGAUUGAGUCGGCUGCAGUUGCUCUCCACUGACUGCGCUCACCAUAAGCAUGAUGGGAAACGACUGGCUGACGACACAGCGCUUAUAAUGCUUAUUGAAUGAGACUGACAAACUACUGUUUAUUCUGUUAUCUUGUGUUUUGACUGAGGUUUAUAUCUGGCUUUUUUGUAUUUCGGUUGAUAAUUAAAGUCAUAAAGAGCAUUACAUGUGUUUAUUUAUUCAGAUUUACAUGUAAACAGAAACUGAACACACCUUUGUAAAACACAAUGUGCCAUAUCUAAUAGAGCUGACUGUUACUAAUAAACCAUGAGCAUGAGCAUGA